GCUUUUUCAACCUUAGUCACCAAGGAAACACCAUUAUAAAAGCAGAGAUAAAAUCUAUUAAAUUCAUCAUACAAUAUCUUAGAAUUUCUCAUGCUUCUGUUCUCUUUUACUCUAAAAAUUAUGUUUUCUUAUAACUAGUUUGAUAUUCUCGGCAAGGUGUCACCAUUUCGAUUUGCCGUUUCAUCUCGAGAUAAGUUGGCGCUUAAACAAGCUAGGUGAAGCUUGGAGUGAAAGCGGGUCAAACGAGUCAAGCAUAGAAGAAAAGCGUAGCUCGGAUGCAAGAACACUCGCGUCUGAAGAUGACGGGAGUUGAACGAAUUAUGGAUAUGAUGAUGGAACGGUCCGAGGUAUGAUAGGAAGAGCAUACUCAUCAAGGACCAAAAUCGCGUAACGGUCGCGAACAAGACUAAUGACAAGAGAAGCCCGUUAGGGCAAGCAUUACCAGGUACUUUUGGAUGCCGGAAGACGAUCAAGCUCAGUGAAGAACCGAACACGAUAAAGACACACGCUUCUGCACUUUGACACAUAGUAAAUUUUAAACAACGAAUUUAAUCACGUCAUGUAGAAUAACUUAUGAUUUGUAAAAGUUUUAAUAAACCCAUAUUUCCAAAUGUUUAUGUAAUCUUAAUUUCAUGAUUGUUUUACGUAAAAUUUACGUUAAACCUUGAAUAAUAAGAACGGGUGUUACACCUUCGGGCAUCUGAUUCCUGAUUUUUAAAUUAUGCAACAAGUUUAUAUUAUAAAAAUGUUACGAGUCUAUAAAGUUUAUGUGAUUAUAAAUGUACAAGUUUAAGGUUAUGUACAUGUAUUAUGUUACCCAAGUCAGUCCCUUUUCUGUGAGGAUGACCACAGACCCAUCAUUGUGGCAUAAUAUGUGGCACCAUCCGUGACGGUGAGUUGAGUUCAUGGCGUCUCUUCUGUUUUAGUCUACGGACUUCUGUUUAGAGGCGUAUGGAGCGAUCCUAGGAAAAAGUAAAUAAAGUCUGAUAUCUGGUGAAUGGUCGGUGUGAUUUGCCCACACUCCGUUCAUGUCUGGAUACAUGGGCUAGCUACCCUGUAUCAACCUCUGUAAUAAAAUGAACCUUCUGGACUUCAGGUAAAUCUGUAUAUCAUAUUCUGAUAAUAUUUGUUAUACGUAUUUAAUAUAUUUUGAAUUAUGAAAACUUAGCGUUUUUGCUAAAACAAAGGAUUUUUGAAGAAUUUAGUCUUUUUCUCAAAUAAAAUAAGCCUUUUUGUUUCAUUCUAUCCGCGCACUGGGCAAAACUUUCAAAUUUUGCUCAGACGUACGUUUUUGUGUUUUCUUCUUUACGUCAGGUUAUCAAGACAAUCUGGGACAUGAUAUAGAAGAGUGCUCGAGUAUAUGAAAAAGACAUCGUAGAAAUAAAUGUAUUAAAUUAGACAUCCUAUUUCUAUUAAGUUGUUAUGCCUUGUAACACUUUCAAGUAUAAAUGGAAUUAUGUUU
rnacentral:lncRNA from 1 species